CAAUGGCAUAUAUCCUGACCAAACAGAAGGAAGUUGAUUUUCAAGUCUCACACGACAUAAGUUUAAGUAAGCAAACUGAUAAUAUUGACAAUGAAAUGCUAUAUAGUGAUGAAUUGUGCUAUUCGUUUAAAGCGAUGAAUACCUGAAUGAUAAAUAGUGAUGAAUACAUUUUGACCACUUGAGGGUAGACAAAAUAUCUUAGUCCUACUACAUAAGAUAUAAUGUGAUCCUAAAACCAAACAAAUGAAUAAAACAUUUAUAGUUCCAUGAGUUAUUAUACACAACCAUCGCAAUACUUUUUGUGCAUUGGUCCUAUAGGAAGGUGGGGAAUUUGUCCUAGAAUUCUAUAGGAACAAAUAAGAUGCAUUCAAAUAUAUUGAAGUGGUACUCCUAUGAUUACAAGCUAUUGAACUUCCCUUUGUAAUUAUUUUACAAACAGUAGGAAUGUGUGGAAGUACAUAAUCCUCACAAAAACAGUUUGAGGGCACUUCUACUGGUGGCAUGUCAAUGUCUCUAAAGCUUGGUGAUUCAGGCCAAAUUCCUGUGUAAAUAGUGAUUAGUGUUAUCAUUAAAACCCACUAAUCUCCCCAUUUAUUAGCAAAAUCUAAGUAAAAACAUGAAUUGCCUCAACUAUUUUUUCCAGUGUGAUAUUUUCAAGCUUUUAAAUUAGAUCAAUUGGAGAGUAAAUGUAUAGUUUGUAUCACAAGCAAAACAGGGGAUGAAUAAAACAUAUUUAUGUUCAAAUUCAGUUUUACUC
rnacentral:lncRNA from 1 species